GAUCAUGGUAGGCCAGCACCAGUUCCUGCACACGCAACGCCGCAAUGCGGAGAACAGGCCUCGAAUCAACUCGGGAGCAUCCAGAUCACCUCCUUU
rnacentral:rRNA from 1 species